rnacentral:rRNA from 3 species
ACAACGGAGAGUUUGAUCCUGGCUCAGGAUGAACGCUGGCGGCGUGCUUAACACAUGCAAGUCGAACGAACCUUCGGGUUAGUGGCGGACGGGUGAGUAACGCGUGAGAAUCUGCCCUCAGGAGGGGGAUAACAGCUGGAAACGGCUGCUAAUACCCCAUAUGCCGCGAGGUGAAAUGAAUUUCGCCUGAGGAUGAGCUCGCGUCUGAUUAGCUAGUUGGUGUAGGUAAUGGCUCACCAAGGCAUCGAUCAGUAGCUGGUCUGAGAGGAUGAUCAGCCACACUGGGACUGAGACACGGCCCAGACUCCUACGGGAGGCAGCAGUGGGGAAUUUUCCGCAAUGGGCGAAAGCCUGACGGAGCAACGCCGCGUGAGGGAUGAAGGCCUCUGGGCUGUAAACCUCUUUUAUCAAGGAAGAAGAUCUGACGGUACUUGAUGAAUAAGCCACGGCUAAUUCCGUGCCAGCAGCCGCGGUAAUACGGGAGUGGCAAGCGUUAUCCGGAAUUAUUGGGCGUAAAGCGUCCGCAGGCGGCCCUUCAAGUCUGCUGUUAAAAAGUGGAGCUUAACUCCAUCAUGGCAGUGGAAACUGAGGGGCUUGAGUGUGGUAGGGGCAGAGGGAAUUCCCGGUGUAGCGGUGAAAUGCGUAGAUAUCGGGAAGAACACCAGUGGCGAAGGCGCUCUGCUGGGCCAUCACUGACGCUCAUGGACGAAAGCCAGGGGAGCGAAAGGGAUUAGAUACCCCUGUAGUCCUGGCCGUAAACGAUGAACACUAGGUGUCGGGGGAAUCGACCCCCUCGGUGUCGUAGCCAACGCGUUAAGUGUUCCGCCUGGGGAGUACGCACGCAAGUGUGAAACUCAAAGGAAUUGACGGGGGCCCGCACAAGCGGUGGAGUAUGUGGUUUAAUUCGAUGCAACGCGAAGAACCUUACCAGGGUUUGACAUCCUGCGAAUCUCUUGGAAACGAGAGAGUGCCUUCGGGAACGCAGUGACAGGUGGUGCAUGGCUGUCGUCAGCUCGUGUCGUGAGAUGUUGGGUUAAGUCCCGCAACGAGCGCAACCCACGUCUUUAGUUGCCAGCAUUUAGUUGGGCACUCUAGAGAGACCGCCGGUGAUAAACCGGAGGAAGGUGUGGAUGACGUCAAGUCAUCAUGCCCCUUACAUCCUGGGCUACACACGUACUACAAUGCUACGGACAAAGGGCAGCAAGUUCGCGAGGACAAGCAAAUCCCAUAAACCGUGGCUCAGUUCAGAUCGUAGGCUGCAACUCGCCUACGUGAAGGAGGAAUCGCUAGUAAUCGCAGGUCAGCAUACUGCGGUGAAUACGUUCCCGGGCCUUGUACACACCGCCCGUCACACCAUGGAAGUUGGCCACGCCCGAAGCCGUUACUCCAACCCUUGUGGAGGAGGACGUCGAAGGUGGGGCUGAUGACUGGGGUGAAGUCGUAACAAGGUAUCCGUACCGGAAGGUGCGGAUGGAUCACCUCCUAA